CUAUGAGUGUUACUCCAAAUGGUCACUUGGCAAGUAGGACCUUCAGUUCCCUUAUUCUUGUCAGUGAACGAGCUAUAAGCUGUUGCUUAAAAGCUGAAUUUUGACACCCCCUCCCCCCCCGGAUAGGACUGUUAGUAAAGACGUUCAGGAUCUCUGGGGUGUUUCCCAACAUCCCAGAAACUGCGUUUUCUGCCAGCAACAUCAAGAUGGCAGGACCACCUAGCCCUUCAUCUAUUCCAGCAGAUGACAAACUAAGGAUCACCCGAGACUUCAGCCUCAGACUGUCAAAGUCAGAACGGGAGUUGGAAGCUCUCCGACAACAAGUAUAUAACUUGGCUACUUGCUUAGAGAAAUACAAUGGUGGAAUAUACAAACCCCUGCUACACCACAUGCUGGAAAAGAAAGGCCGGCUUGGAUUGCUGCAAGUUGUGUCAACGGUUCAAGCUGCGUUCAAGUAAGGGGGACUCCGUGCAGGGCAGAGUGUAUGUGUCUGUGAAAUGGGUAGCUCAGCUGGGACAACCAAGACUUGACUUUGGCCAGCAGCAGGACACUUUUCUCAUAAAUAUUGAUAAAAUGCACGACCAACGGAAAAGCUAACUGAUGGGCUGCAUGGUGAUGCAGAGCCUCUUUUUCUCUUUUGGAAAACAAGGAAUUUCUUGAGUUCAGAUUCACAACCCAAUAUUGAACAGAGGCUAGUGGCAACACAGUGACAUGUCUGCACACUCUGUAGUGUGGUAACCAUGUCAACGGCUGUUGAUCACCAUCACCUCCUGAUUGACUGAUGAUGGCCGAUGUGCGGAGGGAACAGUGGCCAGCAGGUCCGAGGCGGGGCGGCUGGGCGGCUGGGUGCCCGGCUGCAAUCCAGGGCGCUGAGUUGCCCAUCAGCUUUCCCUGGGUUCAAUCCAACCCGCGGUGGUUAGUCAGGUGUGUGGCAGGCUCUUUUCCAAGGCACGUGUUUCCUAUCAGUCUGCCCGGCUUCAGUCCGGCCGGCUGUGACAAGUCAGGCCCGUUCCAGGCUCUAAACCAGGGUGCUCUGUUGCUUAUCAGAUUGCCUUGGCUUCUGUUCUGCGGGCCGUGCCCAGUUUCCUCAGUCUUCCUCUGUGCUGGCCCACCUUCCUUAGGCCCCCGUCCUGGGCCCCCAGUGGGGGUCUCCACCUCAUUCUCCUGUACCUUUCACGUGGCGGCCCGGUGACACGUGGCUGGCCACUACGUUGCUCAGUGUUUGUUGCUGGCUGGGAUCAUAUACAUAGCGUUGCCCCCUGCUGGUUCCAUGGGCUCAUGUGGAGCUAUUAAUGGCCUCUGGGCAAUGUGCUGACCUGUGCUGUUGGGCCUUUCUCAUGGCCUGGCUUGCUACCCCAGACCCCAUGCCUUAGCCCCUUAUCUAGGUCUCCAACUCACAGUCUACUGUCCCUCUGAAGCCCCAGCCUGCCUGUCAAGGCUGAGGUGGCGGUCAGCUGGAUUUUGGCAGUCGUGCUGGUUUUGACCACAGACAGCCCUCCAGGCAUGCCAGCGAGGCCAGCCGCUCUCGUACAUUUUGGUCCUUUGCUGCCUUGUGUUCCUCCUAGCCUUUUCCUGAUGAGCACCUAACACCACUCAGCCUGUAACCCACACCCUAUCCUGCCAGGAUUGAACAUUUGGAUGUGUGCUGCCCAUCUGACUGUAUGCACCUCGGUUGGCCUGCCUUGGUCACUCAUCUUUGUGCUGCCUUCGGCUUCCCUUUCCAUCGAUUCUGUUGUCCGGCACUUUGUUUAAAACAGCGUCGUCCCUGGCCACGCGCCGUGGAAUGUCACUUACCAUCAAAGGGCCUUUCUGGAUGGCAGCUCCACCAGCCAAGGACCGCCCUUCUCCUUAUGCCCAGGCUGGCGACCUCUCCCGGAAUUUUAUCCUGAUUGCGGGAUGGCCAUGGUUUGUUGGGAGUGUCCAGCAGUACCAGCUGGCAGUGAAACCAGCCAUGGGAGAUGAGACCAGAGGCCAAGCUCGGGAUCUGAUAAGAUGGCUGGACUGCCCCGCAGGAUCAUCGAGGAAACCCAGCGUUUGCCAACAGAACCAGUUCCUGGCAUUAAAGCAGAACCAGAUGAGAGCAGCGCCCACUAUUUUCAUAGGGUCAUUGCUGGCCCCCAGGAUUCCCCCUUUGAGUGGGGGACUUUUAAACUUGAACUAUUCCUUCCAGAAGAAUACUCGAUGGCAGCCCCUGAAGUACGUUUCAUGAACAAAAUUUAUCAUCCUAAUGUAGAUAAGUUGGAGAGAAUAUGUUUAGAUAUUUUGAAAGAUAAGUGGUCCUCAGCACUAGAUCAAUCUAGGCUUUGUUAAGUACUCCUAAUCCAGAUGAUCCAUUAGCGAAUGAUGUAGUGGAGCAGAGGAAGACCAACGAAGCCCAAGCCAUCGAAACAGCUGGAGUGUGGACUAGGCUAGAUGCCAUGAACAAUAUUUAAAUCGAUCUGAUCCUCGAGUGCCAUCACUGCUGUUCUGCCAAGACUUCUUCCUUUUUGUUUGCAUUUAAUGGACAUAGUCUUAGAAAUAUUACAGAAUAAAAGCCCAGACAUCUUCA